rnacentral:ncRNA from 2 species
CAAAUACGAUUGGGGUGCCCAUCCGGCUGAGAUCAAACCCAUUGAACCUGCUCUGGUUAAAACCAGCGAAGGGAACGCGUAACAUAGCUAUC